rnacentral:rRNA from 1 species
GACGAACGCUGGCGGCGUGCGUAAUACAUGCAAGUAGAACGCUGAAGAGAGGAGCUUGCUCUUCUUGGAUGAGUUGCGAACGGGUGAGUAACGCGUAGGUAACCUGCCUUGUAGCGGGGGAUAACUAUUGGAAACGAUAGCUAAUACCGCAUAACAAUGGGUGACACAUGUCAUUUAUUUGAAUGGGGCAAUUGCUCCACUACAAGAUGGACCUGCGUUGUAUUAGCUAGUAGGUGAGGUAACGGCUCACCUAGGCGACGAUACAUAGCCGACCUGAGAGGGUGAUCGGCCACACUGGGACUGAGACACGGCCCAGACUCCUACGGGAGGCAGCAGUAGGGAAUCUUCGGCAAUGGGGGCAACCCUGACCGAGCAACGCCGCGUGAGUGAAGAAGGUUUUCGGAUCGUAAAGCUCUGUUGUAAGUCAAGAACGAGUGUGAGAGUGGAAAGUUCACACUGUGACGGUAGCUUACCAGAAAGGGACGGCUAACUACGUGCCAGCAGCCGCGGUAAUACGUAGGUCCCGAGCGUUGUCCGGAUUUAUUGGGCGUAAAGCGAGCGCAGGCGGUUUGAUAAGUCUGAAGUUAAAGGCUGUGGCUCAACCAUAGUUCGCUUUGGAAACUGUCAAACUUGAGUGCAGAAGGGGAGAGUGGAAUUCCAUGUGUAGCGGUGAAAUGCGUAGAUAUAUGGAGGAACACCGGUGGCGAAAGCGGCUCUCUGGUCUGUAACUGACGCUGAGGCUCGAAAGCGUGGGGAGCGAACAGG